AAACUCCGCUCAUGGGUGAGAGCAGCCGAAAGGUCUCUCAACGCAAGCUGUUAUGCGUGGUUAGCCCUGUCAGCGGGGUUUUC
rnacentral:ncRNA from 12 species